rnacentral:lncRNA from 1 species
UGAUGUUGCUUGAUGUUCAUUAUGCCAUGCCAUUGUGUGUUUUUGCUCGAAACUUGUUUGAUGUUGAUGAACCAUGGAGUUGAAUUGAUGUAUGUUGCUGUUGUUUAAAUUUAGCUCUGCCCAGGAAUUUCCUUUGCUUAUGCUUGGUCUGUUGUUAAUUAAUGCUGUGUGAUGAUGAUGUUGCAUGAACAAACUUGUACCAAUGCCAUGUUUGCCCCCCAUGCUGUUCGAGUUUCAAUUGGUGAUGACUGUUUGAUUGCAUGAUGAACAUGAUGCUUUGCUGUUGUUUG